rnacentral:rRNA from 1 species
CCUACGGGAGGCAGCAGUGGGGAAUAUUGCACAAUGGGGGAAACCCUGAUGCAGCGACGCCGCGUGAGUGAAGAAGUAUUUCGGUAUGUAAAGCUCUAUCAGCCGGGAAGAGAAUGACGGUACCUGAGUAAGAAGCCCCGGCUAACUACGUGCCAGCAGCCGCGGUUAUACGUGGGGGGGAAGCGUUAUCCGGAUUUACUGGGGGUAAAGGGAGCGUAGACGGCGAAGAAAGUCUGAAGUGAAAGCCCGCGGCUCAACCGCGGAACUGCUGUUGAAACUUUGUUGCUGGAGUACCGGAGAGGUAAGCGGAAUGCCUAGUGUAGCGGUGAAAUGCGUAGAUAUUAGGAGGAACACCAGUUGCGAAGGCGGCUUACUGGACGGUAACUGACGUUGAGGCUCGAAAGCGUGGGGAGCGAACAGGAUUAGAUACCCUUGUAGUC